CUGAGUUCAUGCUCUUACGGGUAGAUCUCCCACCCUUGAAUAUCUAAACCUUUGUUGCUUUGGCGGGCCGCUUCGGCUACCGGCUCCGGCUGGUGAGUGCCCGCCAGAGAACCUUAAACUCUGAAUUACAGUGUCGUCUGAGUACUAUAAAAUAGUUA
rnacentral:misc_RNA from 1 species